GACAGAGGGUGCAAACGUUGUUCGGAAUUACUGGGCGUAAAGCGCGUGUAGGCGGCUCUGCAAGUCGGGUGUGAAAGCCCCGGGCUCAACCUGGGAAGUGCACUCGAAACUGCAGAGCUCGAGUCUUGGAGAGGAAGGCGGAAUUCUCGGUGUAGAGGUGAAAUUCGUAGAUAUCGAGAGGAACACCGGUGGCGAAGGCGGCCUUCUGGACAGUGACUGACGCUGAGGCGCGAAAGCGUGGGGAGCAAACGGG
rnacentral:rRNA from 1 species